AUGAUUGCUCUUAUCGGUAUGGCUCCUACCGAGGAGGAGGGAGAAGAGAAUAAGAAGAGGGAAAGGAAGGCAGCCGGAGCUGCUUUCACGUGGAUUCAAAAUAACUUUGCGACGUGCCCUCCGGAUGCAACUGAUGAUGUGAUCCAGACACAUGCUCGUGUGUAUAUGUGGUACAUUGUGUCGAGGAUUUUGUUUCCUGACUCCACUGGCAAGAACGCUCCAUGGAUGUGGCUGAAGGCAUUGACCGUCUUCGAUAGCAAAUGGAGCUGGGGUUCAGCGACUCUUGCCUACUUGUACCGACAGGUAGUUGGUCUGUUUUGUGAUCAACUCAUUUAUUCAUUAGCAAUGCAAGCUUGCUGUCAAGUUAACAUUGUUUUUCUUUCAUAUGUAGCUGGAUGA
rnacentral:rRNA from 1 species